CCAGGGCUGACUGAGCGCCCCUGGAAUCCGUGCUCCGGGCGUUGGCUCACUCCCGCCCCGACACCUGGGCCCGCCCUCCCGCUGCGCAGCCACGCGCCGGGCAGCAGCGUGGGCUGGCGGGCGACUCCCCACGCCUCCUGCAACACCGCCCUCUCCCUACCGGAGCGAGGAGGCAGGAAAAGCCUAGAGACGCCUGGUCCCAUCCGCCUACCCAGUCCCCAGCCGGCCUGAAGGGAGGAAGAGGAAGGAACCCAUAAUCAUCCCAAACUGGCGCAAAUGCCUGGAGUUGGUCUGGGGAAUAAAGAAUGGGAUGAAAUGGUGAGAGUCCAGAGGGGUUGAGCAAAGAACUCACUAUCACACAGCAAGGCACUAAUUUGAAAUGCCUGGGAGAAGUAGAAGCUGCAUUUGACUCUCAUAUUCUUAUUGGACCAGGAAGGCAGGAGGAGACACCAGUGUGCACCAGAGAAGGAGAAGUCAGAGAUGACAGUCCCUGCCUGAGGCCAUCUCUGGUCCACCAGACAACUCAUCACCAACUUCCCAACAGCCACUGCUCUAGGCCAGGUGUCCACAUGGGGAAUAGGUCCAGGCCCUCUAUGGCUCUCGCAGGAGUCAGGGAGGCAGAUAAAUAACAUAUCACAAAGACAGAAUAUAAGAAAUGCCUGGGAGGAGGCAUACUGAUGCGUGGAAAGUACUCAGCCAGAAGCCUGGCACUAGAAGGGCCCAGGGAUUGUUGGCAUGUAUGAGUCACAGUUCCAUUUCAGUGGAGUGAGCAGGGAGAGAAUCUCCUGGAAGUAGACUUGGAUCUGCUCUUGAAUCUGCCCCUGCGGAAAGAGGGCCGUUUGGACAGGCUGUGCCUGGAGAUUUCUGGCCUCAUAAAAUCCUCCUGGUCUCUUAGGAGAGCUGGUGACACUCUCCAGGUGAGUCCUUGUGUAAUUAUUAAGGACUCGCCUUUCUCAAGCUGGCGGGGAAAGGGGUUGCUGAGAAGGGAGAAAUCUGGAGCCUAAGUGACCUAAAUGACCAGAACAUAGUUAUUUAUGACUAACUAGGACUAUGGAUGGUGCUUUGGAAUUAUCAAAGAACUACAAACUUCCCUUCAUCUGUCCUACCAACAACUUUAAGAGAGUUGUUUUGUUUUUGCCAUUUGAAAGGUGAGGUACCUGAGGCUCAGAGAGGUAAAGUGAUUCCUUGCAGGUUGUACAGUAAACUCACAAGACUGGGCUUGAGCCCAAACCUUCUGAGUCAAAUUUUCACAUCCUUUCCAUUCUCCAUUGCACCUUGAUUUAGAGAGUCAGCAGUUCCCCAGACUCAGCUCUUUGAACCCACUGUGCCUGACUGCGAGCUGCCCACUCAAGCCCAAGGGGUGGGGGCAAUGGGGUGCAAACCCUCAGUGGGAAGGUAGCAGUUUCCAGGGCCUCACUGAACUCCUGGGCUGAUGGGGGAACAGGGAAGAAACCUCAAAUGCCUACCUGAUAAUUCUGGGCAGCUUCUUCGAUCAAGCUGACAUUAUGGGAUUUGUGGUCCUUGGAUUCACG
rnacentral:lncRNA from 1 species